rnacentral:rRNA from 1 species
GACAGAGGGUGCAAACGUUGUUCGGAAUUACUGGGCGUAAAGGGCUCGUAGGUGGCCAACUAAGUCAGACGUGAAAUCCCCAGGCUCAACUUGGGAACUGCGUCUGAUACUGGUAGUCUUGAGUUCGAGAGAGGUGAGUGGAAUUCCGAGUGUAGAGGUGAAAUUCGUAGAUAUUCGGAGGAACACCAGUGGCGAAGGCGGCUCACUGGCUCGAUACUGACGCUGAGGUGCGAAAGCGUGGGGAGCAAACAGG